GGUUUGUCGCGUUGUUCGUGAAAUCUCACGGCUUAACUGUGAGCGUGCGGGCGAUACGGGCAGACUUGAGUACUGCAGGGGAGACUGGAAUUCCUGGUGUAGCGGUGGAAUGCGCAGAUAUCAGGAGGAACACCGGUGGCGAAGGCGGGUCUCUGGGCAGUAACUGACGCUGAGGAGCGAAAGCGUGGGGAGCGAACAGGAUUAGAUACCCUGGUAGUCCACGCCGUAAACGGUGGGUACUAGGUGUGGGUUUCCUUCCUUGGGAUCCGUGCCGUAGCUAACGCAUUAAGUACCCCGCCUGGGGAGUACGGCCGCAAGGCUAAAACUCUAAGAAAUUGACGGGGGCCCGCACAAGCGGCGGAGCAUGUGGAUUAAUUCGAUGCAACGCGAAGAACCUUACCUGGGUUUGACAUGCACAGGACGCCGGCAGAGAUGUCGGUUCCCUUGUGGCCUGUGUGCAGGUGGUGCAUGGCUGUCGUCAGCUCGUGUCGUGAGAUGUUGGGUUAAGUCCCGCAACGAGCGCAACCCUUGUCUCAUGUUGCCAGCGGGUAAUGCCGGGGACUCGUGAGAGACUGCCGGGGUCAACUCGGAGGAAGGUGGGGAUGACGUCAAGUCAUCAUGCCCCUUAUGUCCAGGGCUUCACACAUGCUACAAUGGCCGGUACAAAGGGCUGCGAUGCCGCGAGGUUAAGCGAAUCCUUUUAAAGCCGGUCUCAGUUCGGAUCGGGGUCUGCAACUCGACCCCGUGAAGUCGGAGUCGCUAGU
rnacentral:rRNA from 1 species